ACGGGAGGCAGCAGCUAAGAAUAUUCCGCAAUGGGGGAAACCCUGACGGAGCGACGCCGCGUGGACGAUGAAGGCCGGAAGGUUGUAAAGUCCUUUUAUGGCAGAGGAAUAAGCGGGGGAGUGGAAAGCCUCCGUGAUGACUGUAGGCCAUGAAUAAGCACCGGCUAACUACGUGCCAGCAGCCGCGGUAAUACGUAGGGAGCAAGCGUUAUCCGGAAUUACUGGGUGUAAAGGGAGUGUAGGCGGGACUGUAAGUCAGAUGUGAAAUAUGCCGGCUCAACUGGCAGACUGCAUUUGAAACUGCGGUUCUUGAGUGAAGUAGAGGUAAGCGGAAUUCCUAGUGUAGCGGUGAAAUGCGUAGAUAUUAGGAGGAACAUCAGUGGCGAAGGCGGCUUACUGGGCUUUAACUGACGCUGAGGCUCGAAAGCGUGGGGAGCAAACAGGAUUAGAUACCCUGGUA
rnacentral:rRNA from 1 species